GGAAUGGUCUGGGAGCCCUCCUGUGCAAGGUGGGAAUGAUCUGAGAGCCCCCCUGUGCAAGGUGGGAAUGGUCUGGGAGCCCCCCUGUGCAAGGGCAGCCCUGCACUUAUGUAAUGCAGUGUUAUUGUUAGAGGGAUGUGAAAACAGGA